rnacentral:sRNA from 1 species
AGGCUCCACGUGAAACUGCCGAUUUGUGGAACCUUAAUCAGAUCUAUGUCUGAACAGAAUAAAAAGAUUAUAGAAAAUGAAACUGCCUGCUGCAGAAAUAUUAUUCAAUAUCCGUGGUUCGUGAAUGAAGCCAGGCUUUUAGAGAACAAAACUAUUUUUAGUGAAGUUGUCUGGAAUCCAUUGAAAUUUUGCUAUUGUAGUAUUUGAAAGUUUUGCUGAUGGAAGUGGUAUCGUUUAUUUGGAAACAUAUAUGAAAAGAAUUUGGCGAAUGCUUAACUUAAUAUAUAAUAUGCUGAUGAGAAUAUUUUCUAUACUACAUGUAAAUGAUGAAUUCAACACGUUAAUACAUGUGAAUUUUGCUGUCUUGUAUCAAAUCUUGAGAAAUUUGAAAAAAACAACACCUGAAACAAGUUUCAAUGUCAAUGUCAAGUUUUGAAAAAUAACGCUAUCUGCUAAACAUUUUCUGUUCUAAUCUAUAGAAGUUAAACUUGUUCACUAGCUUGAUGAUGGGAUGAGGGAGUUGUUUAUUUGAACUUGUUCCGCAUUCUGCGAUUUCUGAUAUACUCUGUUACGAUCCAUAUAGAUAACUAGAAACGGACAUAGCAAGGCACCGUUCUUAAAACGCUCUUAUCGACAAUUUACAGUUUCUUUUGCAUUUGUGUGAUAUGUACAUCAAAUCUACCCGUAAUUAAAUAUGUAAAC